GCAAUUGUUGCAAAGUACUGGAUGACACGCUUCGUGUUCACAGUCUUCCCAGCACCAGAUUCUCCGCUGUCAAACCAAAGAGAGACGCAGAGAGCGUGUGGUCAGGCAGGAGGUCCCCUGGCACCGGGCAGCCCCACAGGGACCCGAGCAGGGGGUGUACGUACGUGAUCAGGAUCGACUGGUUCUCGCGAUCUGUGAAAGGGACAAAGUGGAGAACAGUGCUUAAAACUCAAUGAACAAUACUGAGCUGAAUGAAACGCAGUCAGGAUUCCUUUGCAUGUACCACAAAGACGGAUGACUUGGCAUCGAAAGGCUUGUUCUGGGCCUCGAUUCUCUCCUUUUCCGAUUUUCGGAGCCUCAUUUUAUCUAGGUUCAUCUACCUACAAAUUGGAUAUUGAGCAGCUUUUCUGUAUAAAUUAAGCAGCUCGUUUCUCUGUCAAUACUUCCAGAUAUGGCAGA